CCUACGGGAGGCAGCAGUGAGGAAUAUUGGUCAAUGGGCGCAAGCCUGAACCAGUCAAGUAGCGUGAGGGAUGACGGCCCUACGGGUUGUAAACUUCUUUUAUAAGGGAAUAAAGUGUGGCACGUGUGCCUUUUUGUAUGUACUUUAUGAAUAAGGAUCGGCUAACUCCGUGCCAGCAGCCGCGGUAAUACGGAGGAUCCGAGCGUUAUCCGGAUUUAUUGGGUUUAAAGGGAGCGUAGGUGGUUUGUUAAGUCAGUUGUGAAAGUUUGAGGCUCAACCGUAAAAUUGCCAUUGAUACUGGCAGUCUUGAGUACAGUUGAGGUAGGCGGAAUUCGUGGUGUAGCGGUGAAAUGCUUAGAUAUCACGAAGAACUCCGAUUGCGAAGGCAGCCUACUAAGCCGCGACUGACAUUGAUGCUCGAAAGUGUGGGUAUCAAACAGGAUUAGAUACCCUGGUAGUC
rnacentral:rRNA from 1 species